rnacentral:piRNA from 1 species
CAGAAAUGUCAUAAUGUAGUCACUCC